rnacentral:rRNA from 1 species
CACCGCGGUUAUACGAGAGGUCCAAGUUGACACAAACCGGCGUAAAGGGUGGUUAAUAAUAGACAAACUAAGGUCGAACAUCUUCAAGGCUGUCAUACGCACCCGAAGACAGGAAGAUCUCCUACGAAAGUGACCUCAACAAUUAUGAAUCCACGAAAGCUAGGGAG